rnacentral:rRNA from 1 species
CUACGGGCGGCUGCAGUGGGGAAUAUUACACAAUGGGCGCAAGCCUGAUGCAGCCAUGCCGCGUGUAUGAAGAAGGCCUUCGGGUUGUAAAGUACUUUCAGCGGGGAGGAAGGGAGUAAAGUUAAUACCUUUGCUCAUUGACGCUACCCGCAGAAGAAGCACCGGCUAACUCCGUGCCAGCAGCCGCGGUAAUACGGAGGGUGCAAGCGUUAAUCGCAAUUACUGGGCGUAACGCGCACGCAGGCGGUUUGUUAAGUCAGAUGUGAAAUCCCCGGGCUCAACCUGGGAACUGCAUCUGAUACUGGCAUGCUUGAGUCUCGUAGAGGGGGGUAGAAUUCCAGGUGUAGCGGUGAAAUGCGUAGGGAUCUGGAGGAAUAACGGUGGCGAAGGCGGCCUCCUGGACGAAGACUGACGCUCAGGUGCGAAAGCGUGGGGAGCAAACAGGAUUAGAUACCCUAGUAGUC